UUUUAAUGGGGGUAAAUUGAGUUUUAAUGGGGGUAAAUUGGAUUUAAAGGAGGUUAAAUAGGAUUUACAUGGAGGUAAAUUGGACUUAAAUGGGGUUAAAUUGGAUUUAAAUGGAGGUAAAUUGGAUUUAAAUGGGGUUGAAUUGGAUUUAUAUGGAGGUAAAUUGGACUUAAAUGGGGGUAAAUUGGGUUUAAAUGGGGUUAAAUUGGAUUUAAAGGGGGGUAACUUGGAUUUAAAUUGGAUUUUAAUGGGGGUAAAUUCAAUUUAAAUGGGGGCAAGUUGGAUUUAAAUGGGGUUAAACGGGGGUAAAUUGAGUUUAAGUGGGGUUAAAUUGGGGUAAAAUUGAAUUUCAAUGGGAUUAAAUUGAAUUUGAAUGGGGUUAAAUGGGGUUAAAUUGAAUUUAAAUGGGUCAGGGGGGUUAUUUUUGGGGUAAAUGAUGAUGAUUUAUGGGGUAAAUGAUGAUUUUUGGGGUAAAUGAUGAUGAUUUAUGGGGUAAAUGAUGAUUUUUGGGGUAAAUGAUGAUUUUUGGGGUAAAUGAUGAUGAUUUAUGGGGUAAAUGAUGAUUUUUGGGGUAAAUGAUGAUGAUUUUGGGGGUAAAUGAUGAUGAUUUAUGGGGUAAAUGAUGAUUUAUGAGGUAAAUGAUGAUUUUUGGGGUAAAUGAUGAUGAUUUAUGGGGUAAAUGAUGAUUUAUGGGGUAAAUGAUGAUUUUUGGGGUAAAUGAUGAUUUUUGGGGUAAAUGAUGAUGAUUUAUGAGGUAAAUGAUGAUUUUUGGGGUAAAUGAUGAUGUUUUAUGGGGUAAAUGAUGAUUUUUGGGGUAAAUGAUGAUGAUUUAUGGGGUAAAUGAUGAUUUUUGGGGUAAAUGAUGAUUUUUGGGGUAAAUUAUGAUGAUUUAUGGGGUAAAUGAUGAUUUAUGGGGUAAAUGAUGAUUUUUGGGGUAAAUGAUGAUGAUUUAUGGGGUAAAUGAUGAUUUUUGGGGUAAAUGAUGAUGAUUUUUGGGGUAAAUGAUGAUUUUUGGGGUAAAUGAUGAUGAUUUAUGGGGUAAAUGAUGAUUUUUGGGGUAAAUGAUGAUUUUUGGGGUAAAUGAUGAUGAUUUAUGGGGUAAAUGAUGAUUUUUGGGGUAAAUGAUGGUGAUUUAUGAGGUAAAUGAUGAUUUUUGGGUCCUGUUUCUCAGCCUGAGCUGUGGCAGAAGUGCCUGGGCUGCCUCGAGGAGCUGCUCUGGGGGCACCCCCGGCUCUGGGUGCAGAUGAUUUUCUGUGGGUCAGGGAUUGUUCUAUGGGGUCAGGGGGUUAUUUAUGGGGUAAAUGAUGAUUUUUGGGGUAAAUGAUGAUGUUUGGGUCCUGUUUCUCAGCCUGAGCUGUGGCAGAAGUGCCUGGGCUGCAUCGAGGAGCUGCUCUGGGGGCACCCCCAAAUCUGGGUGCAGAUGAUGAUUUAUGGGGUCAGGGGGUGAUUUAUGGGGUAAAUGAUGAUUUAUGAGGUAAAUGAUGAUUUUUGGGGUAAAUGAUGAUUUUUGGGUCUCCCCCCACAGCCUGAGCUGUGGCAGAAGUGCCUGGGCUGCCUCGAGGAGCUGCUCUGGGGGCACCCCCAGAUCUGGGGGUUGGUGAUGAUUUAUGGGGUCAGGGAUUGUUCUAUGGGGUCAGGGGGUUAUUUAUGGUGUAAAUGGUGAUUUUUGGGGUAAAUGAUGAUAAUUUAUGGGGUAAAUGAUGAUUUUUGGGGUAAAUGAUGAUGAUUUUUGGGGUAAAUGAUGAUUUUUGGGGUAAAUGAUGAUUUUUGGGUCCUGUUUCUCAGCCUGAGCUGUGGCAGAAGUGCCUGGGCUGCCUCGAGGAGCUGCUCUGGGGGCACCCCCAGAUCUGGGGGUUGGUGAUGAUUUAUGGGGUCAGGGAUUGUUCUAUGGGGUCAGUGGGUUAUUUAUGGGGUAAAUGAUGAUUUUUGGGGUAAAUGAUGAUGAUUUUUGGGGUAAAUGAUGA